CAUUUAAAUUGUCCCCGCCUGUUCUCUGUUUAAACAAAUCAGAUUGUUCUCUCUCGCACAAAUUCUCCUUCGCCACCAAACCUCGCCUCGCCUCGCCUCAGCAUCAACGUUGCCGUCCACCGUUCUCGCCCUCCACUAUCAUCACCGUACGUUGCACUCUAGACCCUUUUCUUAUACGCAAGCCCUAGCCCCUUUUCUUAUGCGUUGUUCCUUCAAUGUUGUCUCUCUUGAUAUCAUUCUCUCUGUUUCAAGCUCUCUCCGUUGCCAUGGUGAUCUGAAGAACAGGAGUGUUCAGAUUGUCCCUCUUCGAUAUGUCGAAAGCUCUCGAGUUCGAAGAAGAAUCGAUUUUGAAGACUAUCAAGUUUCGAUAUGCGCUUCUCUCUAUUUGAUAUAGGGCUCUUAGAUCUGGAUGAGUUUAAUUUGGAUUUGACCGAUUGGGAUCUGGAUCUAGGGUUCUUCUACCAGGCACACUCCAUUGCAGAUAAUCCACAUUAUUGGCAACUUUAUGAGAAUAUGGUCGGUUUAC